rnacentral:rRNA from 1 species
UGCCAGCCGCCGCGGUAAUACGGAGGGUGCAAACGUUAAUCGGAAUUACUGAGCGUAAAGCGCGCAUAGGCAAUCAUUUAAGUCGGAUGUGAAAGCCCUGGGCUCAACCUGGGAACUGCAUUCGAUACUGGGUGACUAGAGUACGAGAGAGGGAGGUAGAAUUCCACGUGUAGCGGUGAAAUGCGUAGAUAUGUGGAGGAAUACCGGUGGCGAAGGCGGCUCACUGGCUCGAUACUGACGCUGAGGUGCGAAAGCGUGGGGAGCAAACAGGAUUAGAUA